GGAGAGUUGUCCGAGUGGUUGAAGGAGCACGCCUGGAAAGUGUGUAUACCUGUAAGGGUAUCGAGGGUUCGAAUCCCUCACUCUCCG
rnacentral:tRNA from 1 species